AGUGAGUGAUGUGGAGCCCUCCUGAGAUACAGGGACUCAUGCUGUGCCCUCACUCUGGACAUUAUUGUAGGCUGCUUCCAAGUGACCUGUCUGCAAACUCCUGCCUUUUGGGGGGCUGAAAAACAAAGCUCUAUUGGAGGUACCACUGAUUCCAGUACGGUGGGAUGUGUAAGUGUAGACAGCAUGGAGUUUAACUUAAAGCACGAAUCAACAAGCAGAUGUGCUGAAAUGAACAGAAAAAUAUUUGCUGAAAUUCAACCAGAUGGAGAGUGACUGUGCUGGUUUGAAAGGCAGAAAAGCAGCUUUUGUAUCAAGAGACAUAAGGAGUACUGUGUCUUCU